rnacentral:lncRNA from 1 species
GUGUAAAUACUUUGGAUAUCCCAAGAAAUGUAAGUCGCUGCAAAACCACUGUAGAGCUACAAAAAACCAGAAGUGUGUCCUAAUGACAGCCUCUUCAGGUGGAAAUAUUAAUUUUGGAUAUCAGAAAUGUUCUAAUUUUUGCUUAAACGCUACAAUUGCCAAGAAAAAGAGAAUUGUAAAAUAUGCAUGUUGCAAUUCACAUUCUUUCUGUAAUGCACUUUAAAGGCCUGGACCUUGCUUUUCCUGUUGUACUUAGAGCUGCUCAUUGAGUCAUAAUCCUGAAGCAUAUCAUCAAAAUUUAUUCUACUGAACCACAUCUCCAGUCUCAUACCCUGGUUUCUGUAUAACAUUUCUUAGAUACUGUUCCUAACCUACACGUAUACUUUUAUUUUACGCUGGGUACUCUGAAAUGCAUUGUAUGCCAUAUGAAAUUAAUUUCACUUUUCAAUGUUUUCUUAGAUUAUGUUUGAUUAAAUUUACUUUUCACUUU